rnacentral:rRNA from 1 species
AGAGUUUGAUCCUGGCUCAGAUUGAGCGCUGGCGGCAGGCCUAACACAUGCAAGUCGAACGGAAACAUGUCUAGCUUGCUAGAUGAUGUCGAGUGGCGGACGGGUGAGUAAUACUUAGGAACAUGCCUUUGGGUGGGGGAUAACUAUUGGAAACGAUAGCUAAUACCGCAUAACGUCUACGGACCAAAGGGGGCGCUUGCGCCCUCGCCUAAAAAGUGGCCUAAGCGAGAUUAGCUUGUUGGUGGGGUAAAGGCUCACCAAGGCGACGAUCUCUAGCUGUUCUGAGAGGAAGAUCAGCCACACUGGGACUGAGACACGGCCCAGACUCCUACGGGAGGCAGCAGUGGGGAAUAUUGCACAAUGGGGGCAACCCUGAUGCAGCCAUGCCGCGUGUGUGAAGAAGGCCUUCGGGUUGUAAAGCACUUUCAGUUGUGAGGAAAGUUUGAUGGUUAAUACCCAUUAGAUGUGACGUUAGCAACAGAAGAAGGACCGGCUAACUCCGUGCCAGCAGCCGCGGUAAUACGGAGGGUCCGAGCGUUAAUCGGAAUUACUGGGCGUAAAGCGCACGCAGGCGGUUUGUUAAGCUAGAUGUGAAAGCCCCGGGCUCAACCUGGGAAUAGCAUUUAGAACUGGCAGACUAGAGUCUUGGAGAGGGGAGUGGAAUUUCUGGUGUAGCGGUGAAAUGCGUAGAUAUCAGAAGGAACAUCAGUGGCGAAGGCGACUCCCUGGCCAAAGACUGACGCUCAUGUGCGAAAGUGUGGGUAACGAACAGGAUUAGAUACCCUGGUAGUCCACACCGUAAACGCUGUCUACUAGCUGUUUGUGGAUUUAAUCCGUGGGUAG